rnacentral:rRNA from 1 species
AGUGAACGCUGGCGGUAGGCCUAACACAUGCAAGUCGAACGGCAGCACAGUAAGAGCUUGCUCUUACGGGUGGCGAGUGGCGGACGGGUGAGGAAUACAUCGGAAUCUACUUUUUCGUGGGGGAUAACGUAGGGAAACUUACGCUAAUACCGCAUACGACCUACGGGUGAAAGCAGGGGAUCUUCGGACCUUGCGCGAUUGAAUGAGCCGAUGUCGGAUUAGCUAGUUGGCGGGGUAAAGGCCCACCAAGGCGACGAUCAGUAGCUGGUCUGAGAGGAUGAUCAGCCACACUGGAACUGAGACACGGUCCAGACUCCUACGGGAGGCAGCAGUGGGGAAUAUUGGACAAUGGGCGCAAGCCUGAUCCAGCCAUACCGCGUGGGUGAAGAAGGCCUUCGGGUUGUAAAGCCCUUUUGUUGGGAAAGAAAAGCAGCAGGUUAAUACCCCGCUGUUCUGACGGUACCCAAGGAAUAAGCACCGGCUAACUUCGUG